rnacentral:rRNA from 1 species
UACGUAGGGUGCGAGCGUUGUCCGGAUUUAUUGGGCGUAAAGAGCGUGUAGGCGGCUUGGAAGGUCAGCUGUGAAAACUCGAGGCUCAACCUCGAGGCGUCGGUUGAGACCACCUGGCUAGAGUCCGGAAGAGGAGAGUGGAAUUCCCGGUGUAGCGGUGAAAUGCGCAGAUAUCUGGAGGAACACCGGUGGCGAAGGCGGCAUCCUGGACCAACACUGACGCUGAGUGAGCGAAAGCCAGGGGAGCAAACGGG